rnacentral:rRNA from 1 species
GAUGAACGCUAGCGACAGGCUUAACACAUGCAAGUCGAGGGGCAGCGAGGGAGUGCUUGCACUUUUGUCGGCGACCGGCGCACGGGUGAGUAACACGUAUGCAACCUGCCCUUGUCAGGGGGAUAAGCGAGGGAAACCUCGUCUAAUACCGCAUAUAUGGUUUUGAGGCAUCUCUUAAUCAGGAAAGAAUUAUCGGACAAGGAUGGGCAUGCGGGACAUUAGGUAGUUGGGGGUGUAACGGACCACCAAGCCGACGAUGUCUAGGGGUUCUGAGAGGAAGGUCCCCCACACUGGUACUGAGACACGGACCAGACUCCUACGGGAGGCAGCAGUGAGGAAUAUUGGUCAAUGGGCGAGAGCCUGAACCAGCCAAGUCGCGUGAGGGAAGACGGUACUAAGUAUUGUAAACCUCUUUUGUCAGGGAACAAAGAGACCACGUGUGGUAAGAUGAGUGUACCUGAAGAAAAAAGCAUCGGCUAACUCCGUG